AAAACACCAUCAGCAUCACCAACCAUGGAGAGAUACAGGGUGAACAGGCUUUUGUUCUAGCCCAGCACUAACAAACACUAAUUUAACUCAUUCAGGUCUUGAAGAGCAUGUAUUGACAAAUCUUAGUCACACACAUGCAUCCUACAUACUCUAGCCCCACCCAUCCUCCCCACUGGACAGUAUUUUUAGCUGAAACCUGAUCUCUUCAGCAACAGAGAAUGAAGGCAACACUGCAAAACCCCUGCCUUUAACUAGCUGCGUGGACACACACAAUAACCCAUUCUGACAUGCAGACAUACACACUGUGACGCAGACACGCAGCAGGACGUUACGUACACAUGGGGACACACCCGUCUACAGUCCAGUAAGGAAAAUAAAAGAAUGAGAAGUGUGAGCUGAGGGCUGAAGUUAUUCUCCACCAAUCUGGAACAGAGCUCCAUUACAGAGACACACUGCAGCAGACAUUUCGGAUCCAUAACCAGCUUCAAGACUUCUAAAGGAUGAAGAACCUUAGACUUCUCCUCCUCUCUCUCUCCAUCUGCCUGUUGCUGGGCAACCUGGGGGUGAGUGGCUACAGUAAUGUCGAACCCUGCCAACGGUCCCGAUGCAAUAACUGCCAUGAAAAGUUCCUAUACCGGCAUGUGCGUCCAAAUACCCCGUUAACGACGGACCGCAACGCGUGGGAGAAGUAUCUACGUGAACAAAAUAACUGCUCAAGACCCACGCAGUCCUUCCUCCAUCCCAAAGACCGGGAGAGGGUGGACGCGGUCUGCUCCAGCUCUGGGGGAAAGACGUACCAGGGGAACCUGUGCAUCAGCCAACGCCCGUUCACAUUUCUAACAGUGAGGAGCGAGACUGGGACCUGCGGCGUGUCCAGCGUGCGGGAAGAGACCAAGCAUUUGAUCCUGGCAUGUGAGGUGCUGGAGAACAGGUGUGUGCCGGUCCACUUCGAGGGGAACCGCGAGGGGAGCAAGCCCGACAAUAACGCUGCAGGAUGUGGCAGCACGGAGAAAGGGAAGGGCUCAAGCUUCAAAGUAUCAGGAAUGUGGCUGGCAUCUUUAUUGAUACUCAUGUUUCUCUCACAACUCCUUUUUCUGAACAGUUAAUGGGGGGGCAGAUAGUCAAACAAUAUAUCAAAAGGAAGUUUUUUUAAAGUGUCUGUCCUACACUCUAAAAAGAAAAGGUUCCUGGAGUAUCCUUUAGGGGUUCUUCAAAUUUAAAGUGUGGGUGAACCGCUAUGAGUUCUUCACAGAACCCCUUUUAAUGGAUCCUCAGAGUACCUUUUGAACAACCUUUUGGGGUUCCUUUUUGAACUACCCCUCUCCCCUAUUAUUAAUAAUAGUAAUACGCUUAACAAAAACAACAAUAACACAAUAUUUUAUUGUUCUCAGUGUUUAUUAUGAUUUUAGUGGCAAAACAGAAUAAAAAAAUCCAAAUAUGAGGUAAACUCCCAGCAGAGCCCCAUGUCCAGUGGAAGUCCAAUGGAAGUAUAUCCUCUGGCGUGUUGAUGUUAUUGUGUUGAUGUUCUCCGUAUCCAUAGCCAGAAUGAGGCGUAUUUCUGUCUGUAAUAAUGCCCUUUUGUGUGGGAAAACUCAUUCUGAUUGGCUGGGCCUGGCUCCCCAGUAGGUUGGCCUAUGCUCUCCCUGGCCCACCCAUGUUUGCGUCCCUGCCCAUUCAUGUGAAAUCCAUAGAUUAGGGCCUAAUUUAUUUAUUUCAAUUGACAGAUCUCAGCAAAAUCUUUGAAAUCGUUGCAUGUUGCGUUUAUAUUUUUGUUCAGUAUACUUCCAUAUAUACUUCCAUUCAUUGGUGUGUAGCCCAAACUGUUCUGAAGCUACAGACAGAAGUUGGCAGAUCGGUGGUACCGACUUGUGCGGGUCGUAAAAAACUGAGAACACCAUCAUGUUGGUCAUCUUUCCAUAGAGGGGUCAUAUUAGUUUGUUGGCCAAACCGUUCGGACGCUACAGACGUUUUUGUGAGAAGAACGAUUUUCGCCAUGUCUCAUGGUCUGACAAACAGUAGCUUGGUCACCUUCCACCGCAGAUGCGGAAGGACGCCAUUGGCGGAUGUGGUGAAUUGAGACGCAGCCCAUCCAAAAAGCUACAUAUCUCUAGCUCAAAGCUACAAUAUGUAACUUUUUGGGCAACCCGACCAAAUUCACAUAGAAAUAUGAGUUAUAGAUCUUUCAUGAAAGAAAGUCUAAGAAGCGGUAGAUCUGUUCUAUGUGUGCUAUUUGUGCGUCUUUUACUUUCAGAUUUGUACACAAGCAAUAUUUUUGGUUAUGUAAAAAUAUUUCACAGCAGUUUAGGUGGUACUAUGAUUCUCUACACAAUGACUGCUUGUUUUGUCAUUAAAGGAAAUUAGGUGAACUAUUACAAUUUUAUCAACCAGGAAAUGGAGGAGUGAUUCCUUAAUAGUACAUCUUUAAAACAGACGGAUUUUGAUGGGGAUUUUUGUAUUAUGCAAAUUAUUUUUCAGCGGGGGGGGGGCGGACAUCGACUCUAGGGGGUGUAGACUGCCAUGUAUUCAGGUCUGGCCCUGGGCUAUAACGUUUCACUCACAACAUUUAAAAGACUGCCAUGUAUUCAGGUCUGGCCCUGGGCUAUAAUGUUUCACUAACAACAUUUAAAAGACUGCCAUCUAUUCAGGUCUGACCCUGGGUCUGACCCUGGGCUAUGAUAGCGUGGGUACCUUGUACUCUGUGUCAUAUGCCAAAGAUGUUUAGCAUAAAAAGAGUGGCAAGGAGGGGAAUGAUAGCUAAACAGACUGGUACCCGUACCAGACUAGGGCUAUGACGUUUCACACACAACAGUUAAAAGACUGCCAUGUUUUGUUCUCUCACAACAUCUAUUCUGAACAGUUGAAAGACUGGGCAUUUGUUUUGUCAUAUGUAUGUUAUGGACGGUGUUGCCCGUUCCUGUGUGCCAGUCAGGGAUCUGUCUAUGGCUGUGGGCCCCAGCCUAAUGUUGGCGUCAGCAUUUCAUUACUUUGUACUUCAUUUGAAAAAGUGUAUUGUACCAUGCUGAAUAUAUGCACUAUCAAUAAAGGUUGAUUUUGGUAGAAUGUUGAAGAGCAGCAUCAUCAGCCAGCAUCAUCAGCCAGCACCAUAGGCCUUAACACAGAGGUUAAACCACAUGACCUCAUCUGAGAGGUCACACACAAGCAGCACAUUCCGAGUUGGCAGGCAAGUGCUUUACUAUGAGCACGUAAACAUGUAAUACACCCCCAUCAGCCUACAACAUGGAUUGGCUUUUGUAGGCCUGCAAAAAAAAGGAGAAAGAAAGAAGAUUUUUAGGAACUCAGUCGGGGUCUCAACUUACUGUUGAGUUACAAUAGUAGAAACACAAGGUGACAUUUAGAAAUCUGGUUGUGCAUCAGUAGUUUUUCUGUUGUUUUGUCAGUCACUGACAUUCACUCAGUUAACCAUGUCUGCUAACAUUGUUUAGAUUGGUAAGUUAGUCUAGCGUCCAGCUAUCUAAACAUGUAGUAAUCAUGGACCGGGGGGCCCUAUUGAUUAUGUUAGUCACUCUCACUUAGAUAUCAUAUUAAAAACUGCAAACAUUUCUCUUCACCCUAUUGCAAAAUGUGUAGAAUUGAAGGAAAUUUGCUGUAAAAUUGCAAAUGUUUCUCUCCGCCCCAUGGCAAAAUUAGUAGAAUGCAUUAAAUUUGUUAUAAAACUGCCAAAUCUUAUCUCCACCUUAUGGCAAAAUGUGUAGAAUUGCAGAAAAUUUACUCUAAAACUUCCAUCACAAGGAUAGGAGCACGUAAGGAUGCAUUGUGAAAGUAUCAGAGCAGUGCCAUGGUCAGGAAGAACUUCAAAAGUAUUGAGAUGGAAUGUGGGCAUUCUUCAGUGUUUCUAUAGGGUGGGCAGCAUGCACUUUUAGCCUAGUUCUGCUCAAUGGGCAAUUGAACAGGAAUAGAAUGUGAAAGAGGAAGUUCAUUUGUGGUUUAGACAAUUCUCAACUAUUGGGCUAUUCAGAACUCCACUGUGACCCCUUUCCUUGUUCUAUAGGCCACUCAGAUCGAGCUUCUCUAUCACACAUGCACUGUGUGAGGGACGUCUAGAAAUAGAGGGCCGUAUGUGGAGCUCACCUGGUGAAACUUGUUCUGCAUGCACACACAAACACAGACACACGCAGGGAUAAGCAACAUAAACUCACAUACACGGACGGUUCCAGGGAUAAGCAACAUAAACUCACAUACACGGACGGUUCCAGGGAUAAGCAACAUAAACUCACAUACACGGCUGGUUCCAGGGAUAAGCAACAUAAACUCACAUACACGGCUGGUUCCAGGGAUAAGCAACAUAAACUCACAUACACGGCUGGUUCCAGGGAUAAGCAACAUAAACUCACAUACACGGCUGGUUCCAGGGAUAAGCAACAUAAACUCACAUACACGGCCGGUUCCAGGGAUAAGCAGUCACUAAGGGCUUUUUCUGGAACUUUUUUUAUUUAAUUUCUUUUACCUUAAUUAUCUAGGCAGGUCAGUUAAGAACAAAUUCUUAUUUACAAUGAUGUCCUACCAAAAGGCAAAAGGCCUCCUGGGGGAAUGGGGGCUGGGAUUUAAAAAGAAAUCUGCAAAUAAAAUAUAGGACAAAACACACAUCACGACAAGAGAGACAACACAACACUACAUAAAGAGAGACCUAAGACGACAAAAUAGCAUGGACGCAACACAUGAAAACACAGCAUGGUAGCAACACAACAUGACAACAACAUGGUAGCAACACAACAUGGCAGCAGCACAACAUGGUAGCAACACAAAACAUGGUACAAACAUGAGUCCCUGAACUGAGUCAGGGUCUCAACUUAAUAUUGAGAGUAAGAAUAGUAGAAUUAAUCAGGUGCAAUCUCAACAUCUGGUUGUGCAUCAGCAGUUUUUCCUUAAUAUUUUUUAUCUGACGUCAGUCACUGACAGCAGGUUUCCAUCCAAUUGGUGACAGAUUUUCAUGCGAAUAUUCUAACAUCAGCAUAAAAACAAUCUGCACGUUUUCCCAUCAGAGAUGUGUUUCUAUCAAAUUGACUUGUUGCAGAUAAAACCCUGUGCGUGAUGAUGCGUGCACAGAAGCAUACAUUUUCCGUAUAAAUUCCCAUGUACCGAAUAUACAGUACCAGUCAAAAGUUUGGACACACCUACUCAUUUAAGAGUUUUACUUUAUUUUUUACUAUUUUCUACAUUGUAGAAUAAUAGUGAAGACAUCAAUUCCAUAUGAAAUAACAUAUAUGGAAUCAUGUAGUAACCAAAAAAGUGUUAAACAAAUCAAAAUAUAUUUUAGAUUUUAGAUUCUUCAAAAUAGCCACCCUUUGCCUUGAUGACAGCUUUGCACACUCUUGGCAUUCUCUCAAUCAGCUUCAUGAGGAAUGCUUUUCAAACAGUCUUGAAGGAGUUCCCACAUAUGCUGAGCACUUGUUGGCUACUUUUCCUUCACUCUGCGGUCCAACUCAUCCCAACCCAUCUCAAUUGGGUUGAGGUCGGGUGAUUUUGGAGGCCAGGUCAUCUGAUGCAGCACUCCAUCACUCUCCUUGGUCAAAUAGCCCUUACACAGCCUGGAGGUGUGUUUUGGGUCAUUGUCCUUUUGAAAAACAAAUGAUAGUCCCCCUAAGCCCAAACCAGAUGGGAUGACGUAUCGCUGCAGAAUGCUGUGGUAGUGUAAUGGAAAUUAUAUGAUUAAAGGUUUGACUAAAUUAUUUCACCCUGAAAAUGUAUAACCGAGUGAUUAUAAAUCAAAUCAAAUGUAUUUAUAUAGCCCUUCUUACAUCAGCUGAUAUCUCAAAGUGCUGUACAGAAACCCAGCCUAAAACCCCAAACAGCAAGCAAUGCAGGUGUAGAAGCACAUAAGGUUAAUGUACUAAUGUGUGUGCAUGGGACAAGCUGAGACUUUAAUAUGUAGCAAUGUAAGUGAAACGUUCAAGGAGAAGUGGAACUAUUAACAGACAGCAGACAACUUGUGACCGCGGAGGAACUGAUAACAGGAAGAGGAGGGGAGGGGAGAAACAUUGAGGCUACAGUAGAUUAGGUCCCAGGUGCAAGAUAUGAUAAACAAUGUAUGUGUUGUAGAAAAGUUUGUAAACUGCAUUGUCAGUGUUAGAGAAGAGGAGGGGCAUUUGUAUGACGAAAUGUGUAAUAUAAAAGGCAUUGUAUGGAUUUUAGAGCUCUCGUAAAUAAACAUCCUGAUUAUUGUAGAUCUCAGUCUGUUUCUUUCAACCGGAACCUUACACCUUCUGGUAUACAAACUGAGUAGUUAAAUUGAAGUUCGGUUUAAGAACAUUGCUAACUUAAUUCCCAUAACAGGAAGCCAUGCUGGUUAAGUGAGCCUUGAAUUCUAAAUAAAUCACUGACAUUGUUACCAGCAAAGCCCCCCCACACCAUCACACCUCCUCCUCCAUGCUUCACAGUGGGAACCACACAUGUGGAGAUCAUCCGUUCACCUACUCUGCGUUUCACAAAGACACGGUGGUUGGAACCAAAAAUCUCAAAUUUGGACCCAUCAGACCAAAGGACAGAUUCCCACCGGUCUAAAGUCCAUUGCUCGUGUUUCUUGGCCCAAGCAAGUCUCUUAUUAUUAUUGGUGUCCUUUAGCGCUGGUUUCUUUGCAGCAAUUCGACCACAAUGGCCUGAUUCACACAGUCUCCUCUGAACAGUUGAUGUUGAGAUGUGUCUGUUACUUGAACUCUGUGAAGCAUUUAUUUGGGCUGCAAUCUGAGGUGCAGUUAACUCUAAUGAAUGUAUCCUCUGCAGCAGAGGUAACUCUGGGUCUUCCUUUCCUGUGGCGGUCCUUAUGAGAGCUAGUUUCAUCAUAGUGCUUGAUGGUUUUUGCGACUGCACUUCAAGAAACUUUCAAAGUUCUUGAACUUUUCCUGAUUGACUCACCUUCAUGUCUUAAUAGGGACAGACGUUCCGCUAUUUAGCAGACGCUCUUAUCCAGAGCGACUUACAAAUUGGUGCAUUCACCUUAAAUUCAAAAAGGCUUUACAACGAAAGCAAAACAUUAGAUUAUGUCAGGAGAGUACCCUGCAAAAAAAAUUAUCACACACACAUUUUUCAAGCUAGCAUAUAUGUCACAAAAACCAAAACCACAGCUAAAUGCAGCACUAACCUUUGAUGAUCUUCAUCAGAUGACACUCCUAGGACAUUAUGUUAUACAAUACGUGCAUGUUUUGUUCAAUCAAGUUCAUAUUUAUAUAAAAAAACAGCUUUUUACAUUAGCAUGUUUUGUUCAGAACUAGCAUACCCACCGAAAACUUCCGGUGAAUUUACUAAAUUACUUACGAUAAACGUUCACAAAAAACAUAAUUAUUUUAAGAAUUAUAGAUACAGAACUCCUUUAUGCAAUCGCGGUGUCCGAUUUUAAAAUAGCUUUUCGGUGAAAGCACAUUUUGCAAUAUUCUGAGUAGAUUGCCCGGCCAUCAUGGCUAGCUAUUUUGACACCCACCAAGUUUGGCACUCACCAAACUCAGAUUUACUAUAAGAAAAAUUGGAUUACCGUUGCUGUUCUUCGUCAGAAUGCACUCCCAGGACUUCUUCUUCAACACCCAAUGUUGUUUUGGUUCCAAAUAAUCCAUAGUUAUAUCGAAAUACCGCCGUUUUGUUCGUGCGUUCAAGACACGAUCCGAAGGGUGAUGCGCCGGCGCGUUUCGUGACAAAAAAUGUCAAAAUAUUCCAUUACCGUACUUCGAAGUAUGUCAAACGCUGUUUAAAAUCAAUUUUUAUGCGAUUUUUCUUGUAAAAUAGCGAUAAUAUUCCAACUGGGAGAUGUUGUAUCUGUUCAAACACUGAAAUAAGAAAAUGGAGUCGUCACAUGCAUGCGCAAGCCAGUGUCAUUGUUCUCAGAAGUACCACUCUCCAAAACCCCUACUGUUUUUCGCCCAGAGACUGCAGAGUUAUCAUUCAAUGUUCUGGCGCCUUCUGAGAGCCAAUGAAAACCUUAGAAAAUGUCACGUUACAGCAGAGCAGUAUUUUCGAUAAAGAGGCUACAGAAGGCCAAGAAAUGGUCAGACAGGGCACUUCCCAUAUAGAAUCUUCUCAGGUUUUGGCCUGCCAUAUGAGUUCUGUUAUACUCACAGACACCAUUCAAACAUUUUUAGAACAUUUUGGGUGUUUUCUAUCCAAAUCUACUAAUUAUAUGCAUAUUAUAGUUUCUGGGCAGGAGUAAUAACCAGAUUAAAUCGGGUACGUUUUUUAUCUGGCCGUGAAAAUACUGCCCCCUAUCCCAAACAGGUUAAAGUAAUGAUGGACUGUCAUUUCGCUUUCCUUAUUUGAGCUGUUCUUGCCAUAAAAUGGGAUGACAGGUAUCCUAGUUGUUAGAGCGUUGGGGCCAGUAACCGAAAGGUUGCUGGAUUGAAUCCCGGAGCUGACAAGGUAAAAAGAUCUGUCGUUCUGCCCCUGAAUAAGGCAGAUAACCCACUGUUCCCUGGUAGGAUGUCAUUGUAAAUAAGAAUUUGUUCUUAACUGACUUGCCUAGUUAAAUAAUGUUUUUUUUUUUUUUUUAAUGGACUUGGUAUUUUACCAAAUAGGGCUAUCUUCUGUAUACCACCCCUCACAGCAAAACUGAUUGGCUCAAAUGCAUUAUGAAUGAAAGAAAUUACACAAAUGAACUUUUAAGAAUGCACACCUGUUAAUUGAAAUGCAUUCCAUUCCAACCUCAUGAAGCUGGUUGAGAGAAUGCCAAGAGUGUGCAACGCUGUCAUCAAGGAAAGGGUGGCUAUUUGAGUAAUCUCAAAUAUAAAAUAUAUUUCGAUUUGUUUAACACUUUUUUGGUUACUACAUGAUUCCAUGUGUGUUAUUUCGUAGUGUUGACGGUCCCGUGUGGCUCAGUUGGUAGAGCAUGGUGUUUGCAACGCCAGGGUUGUGGGUUCGAUUCCCACGGGGGACCAGUACGGGAAAAAAAUAAUAAUAAUGUAUGAAAUGUAUGCAUUCACUACUGUAAGUUGCUCUGGAUAAGAGCGUCUGCUAAAUGACUAAAAUGUAAAAAAUGUUCA
rnacentral:tRNA from 1 species